rnacentral:rRNA from 1 species
UACGAAGGGGGCAAGCGUUGUUCGGAAUUACUGGGCGUAAAGGGUGCGCAGGCGGCUCCGCAUGUCGGGCGUGAAAUCCCCGGGCUUAACCUGGGAAUUGCGUCCGAAACUAUGGAGCUGGAGUGUGGCAGAGGGAGGUGGAAUUCCACGUGUAGCAGUGAAAUGCGUAGAGAUGUGGAGGAACACCGAUGGCCGAAGGCAGCCCCCCUGGGCCGACACUGACGCUCAUGCACGAAAGCGUGGGGAGCAAACAGG